GGCAAAUUUGUAAUUUCGUGUUUCGACUUUGGGAAGGAAGAAUAUUCACUCCUUAGAAGCGACAAUAAAACCCAAGGACAAUACUCUAUCUUGCACAAGCCCAGCUCCUCCGUGGCUCGCAGUAACGUACAGCGUGGCGCAGACAACAUGAUGAUGUUACCGGUGGCGUCCUCGCCUGGGUGAGCCAGUAACCCGGCACCUGAAGCGAGUGUUUCAAAGAGCCACUGGAAACUGAGAUCUUACCUCCGUCCUUCUGAGGAGCGCCAAUCAGUUUGAUGAGCCAGCGUUUCGUCUCGGGGACGACCUUCGGUCCGAGCCUCACCCGAACCAGCGGCUCGACCCGCUCUGAGG